UUAGUACACCCCUGUUUCAAAAUGGAUUCGUCCGGCUUCCCCACCACUUGGAUUCACAGCUCUUGCCAUAUAUGGGCAUAAAACGAAAGCGGCUCGCUGAUUGGUCGGUUGGCCGGCUGCCGGCUAGAUUCUCCAAAUGCCGCUUCAAACUGUACGAUACGGGGAGCAUAAUGCCUUCUGGAAGCGUACACUAGCUAAGGGCUUUCCUGACUAACCGUCAGAGCUGUUUGUAGUAGUAAACGUAUCAAUACGUACGAACGUAUAUGUGAAGAUUAUCACGUUCUUUGUGUGCGCGUGCUAGCGACCAGUACCGGCAGUAGGUAUGAGUCAGAAAAAGUUUUGUUAUAUACUUUGGAAUGGUCAACAUUUUUUUUCACUUGAUGCAAGUCGAAACAGUUGUCAUUGAGAUUUAAUGAUCCUCUACUCAUUCGUAAGCUUUCAUGGAAAUUCCUAUCUGUGAAAUAAUAUUAUGAAGUUCGUCGAAUUUAUAUUACGAUAUUUAAUGAAAUAGGAAUCAUGUUACUAAUCCUGGGACAUUUUUCACCUAAUUAUCAUUUACCAUUGAUUUCUUAAAUUUGAGGAAAACUCUUGUGAGAGAAUUCUUAUUCAUAGGACUGAUUUUUUGUUCAAAUUUUAUGCUAAAUUCUUUCCACAAGAAAAACUCGUAUUUCUUGAUAUACAUAACCUAUUUACUAUCUUGUUUACUUAAAAAUUUAUUAGCAAAAAUCAUAUUUCUUUCGCAUUAGUUAUAAUUACAUAACAUAUCUUGGCACUAGAUUUAUUCGUUAACCAGGAUAUGGUAUGGUUAUAUUUGAAGAAAGCGAAUCUUCGAACGAGAAAGGGUAACAAAUUGUCUUUCUCGUAAAAUUUAAUAAAAUAAUAUUCCGCCUUUACAACAUAGUCAAAUAGAAUAAGCUGGCGUUUGUAGAAGGUCAUUGAUGAUUUAUUUCCAAAAAAUUCAGUUACUGUGUCACUUUCAAUAUUAAUGAAUGUUAGUGACUCAUUGUAGUAAUAAUCUGCAUACCAUGUUUAGUACUACUUGUCUUCCUUUAAAAAAUUGCGCUAGAAGGAAAAUAAUUCGCAAGAAGGAUUUAGAAAGUCAGUAGGUCAGACUCCACUAUUUAUGCAUACUCAUUGUCUAGAUUUCGUUUUAGAGUAGGACAACUAAUGUCUGCUUAAAAGUUAACAUGUUUUUGAAGAAUUUUAAGGUAGGCUUAGACUAAGUAAUUAAAUGAUGUUCGUCCACCCACUUAUUGCGUGUGGUAUAUGUCAUCUCGGCCGCCUUUUUCAUACAACAGAAGCUAAAAAUAGACUCAAGGGCGCGGAUAAGGGUGCACUGGACUACUACCACGUCACGUAAGCCCUAUGCUUCGGCCCUAUUUCCUGUAUAUGUGUCGGUCCGACGGAAGGCGGCAUGGUGUGUGUGAGUGCAGUGUCUGCUUCAAAAUCGAUACGCGUGUUCGUGCAGUCUACGAUGGUACAUCGUACUUGUGCACGGAAACCACGUGGUGAAGGAAACGUCAAAAUAAACGGAUGGACUGCUUCAUCCAAGUCUAACCUAACCUCGAACAUCGAAGCCGGCACCCAGCUGUCACACGCACACAGCAUCUUUAUACACAUCGAUUUCGUGUAACUCCAUUGUCCUUUUAACCGCUCAGGUUUUUAUUAGACAAUAUGUUAUUUUACUCAACUAUAAUAUCAAAAGAUAAAUACAAUACAAUGGUAUCUAUGGAAA